rnacentral:rRNA from 1 species
UGAGGAAUAUUCUGCAAUGGACGAAAGUCUGACAGAGCAAUACCGCGUGAAGGAUGAAGGCCUACGGGUUGUAAACUUCUUUUCUCAAGGAGGAAGAAAUGACGUUACUUGAGGAAUAAGCAUCGGCUAACCCUGUGCCAGCAGCCGCGGUAAUACAGGGGAUGCAAGUGUUAUCCGGAUUCAUUGGGCGUAAAGCGUCUGCAGGUGGAUGUAUAAGUCUUUUGUUAAAGCUUUGGGCUUAACCCAAAAUCUGCAAAAGAAACUAUAUAUCUGGAGUAUGGUAGAGGUAAAGGGAAUUUCCGGUGGAGCGGUGAAAUGCGUAGAUAUCGGAAAGAACACCAAUUGCGAAGGCACUUUACUGGGCCAGUACUGACACUCAGAGACGAAAGCUAAGGGAGCAAACAGG